CUUUUUAGGGCCACACCCUCAGCAAUUUCCCCAGCUAGGUGUCAAAUGGAAGCCACAGCACCAGCCUAUGCCACAACCAGAACAACAUAGGAUCCGAACCACAUCUGCAACCUACAGCAUAGCUCACAGCAACCCUGGAUCCUUCACCCACUGAGCCAGGCCAGGGAUGGAACUCAUAUCCUCAUGGCUAUUAGUCUGGUUUGCUACCACUGAGCCACAACAGGAAUCCCAAGCAUCACCUCUUUUAGAAAAGCCAUCCCUGAUGUCUGGCCUUCAUCUGUGUGAGAUGCCCUCCUCCUCACAAUGCACUCCCACAGCAUGAUAAACCUCCCUCUGCCCUCUCGGGCAACAUCUACAAGACAGGGUGCCCACUGUCCACUUAACUAGACCCCCAAACUGUCAGCUAUUCCAGAACAGCACUUACGCAUUUUAGCACUUGGUGCUCAAUGCCUAGCAGAAACCCAGGCACACAGUCCCCAUCCAAUAAGUCUAUUUUUGAAUUAAAGCAACAGUUUAAUUCAAAACUGCAAGGCAAAGCCAAAGUGUUUUCUGAUAAAAGGUUUAGUCUCAAAGAGCUCCACUUACUCUAUCCUGGUCAUAAUUGGAUAAUUGGAGAUUUUUCAAGGGCUUAAGCUUUUCAAGUCCACUUUUCCUUAGAUUGUGGUUUUCCAUUAAAUCAGUUAACCUACACCUAAACAGUGCAGUGUGUCACUGACCCACUUUGUUUCAUUCUUUGCUCCUCAAUGACAUCCCCAUGUUGCUAUGAAUUGCAUUUUUAAGUAAAGAAUUAAAUAUAUUUGCCCUGGAUUCACCCAAGCGAGCUUUGAGAGCACACGGAUACAGCCUGGGGUUCCAUUGCCCAAUCUACUAAAGCAGCUUCGAGCGAACUGCCUAUGCUUUCUCAUCCUUAGCUACCCAAUCCACUAAGCAAAGAAAGAACCCCGGAAAUAACAAGACCAAAAGCUACCAUACUACCCUGCGCUAGAGUAAAGGCACACUCACCAGCUCUGACCUUAACAACGGCCAAUAUUACUUUGAGUGAAACUACCUAAAACUGUCCCCUUCAGAAGAAAGGACAAUGUCUUGGUCCUCUCAGGCUGCCAUAACAAAACAUCACGGGCUGGGUGGCUUGCACAACAGAAAUUUAUCAUCUCACAGUUCCAGAGGCUGGAAGUCCAAGAUCAAGUUAGGGUUUCCACCUACGAAUUUGCAUUGGGGGAAACCAUAGUUCAAUCCAUAAGAGAAAAUUUCCAAGCACCUACUGGGUAGGAAUACUUACUAUUCUUCACGAGGGAAAGAACUUUUCUCUACCCUCCCGAAAGGAAAAAAACUAGACCUCUAUUCUGGAUCGAACUUUGUCUCCCACCCAAAUUCAUACGUCCAAGUUCUAACACCCCAAACCUCAUAAUGUGAUCUUAUGUAGUAAUAGGGUCAUUGCAGAUGUUAUUUGUUAAGAUAAGGUCAUACUGCAGUAGGCUGGCCCUCCAUCCAAAACGACUCAUAAAAAGGGGAAAUGUGGCCACAGACAAUUCCACAAGCCAAGGAACAUCAAGCCUGCUAGCUGGAGUUCCCGUGUGGCACAAUGGAAAUGAAUCCAACUAGGAACAUGAGGUUGCUGGUUCCAUCCCUGGCCUCGCUCAGCAGGUUAAGGAUCCAGCAUUGCCAUGAGCUGUGGGAUAGGUCACAGAUGCAGCUCGGAUCUGGAGUUGCUGUGGCUGUGGCGCAGGCCAGCAGCUGUAGCUCUGACUGGAGCCCUAGCCUGGGAACCUCCAUAUGCCGCAGGUGUGGCCCUGAAAAGACAAAAGACAAAAAAAAAAAAAAAAAACUUGCUAGCAAACUGCCAAAAGCAGGGGCCGGGGGGAGGAGGGGGUAGAGCAUGGAACAGAUUCUCCUCAGGCCCUCAGGAGGAGGUUUGACCUUGAACUUCCAGCCUCCAGAUCUAUGGGACAACACAGUUCUGUUGUUUCAGGUGCCCAGCUGGAGAUCCUUUGUAAUGGCAGCCCUAGCAAACUAAUACAAGCUCUCUUUCAACAGCCCCUGACUCAUUCCUCCUUCCUGGUUGACGGAUGGGGAGAAGAUACUGAACAAAUGAUGCCUGGCCCCUUCUGGAUUUUUCUGGAGCCAAGCACCUUCCUGACUUACCUUGUUCUUCCUCUGCCCUGCUCUUGGGGUUAACCAGCCCUGCAAGUGGGGAAGGGAGGUGAGCAAGUCCAUUUGGCCCUCCCCUGUUCUCCAACGAACUUAUCCUUCACAAUGCUGAACUUCUGACCUCCUAUCUGUCUGGAUUGUCUGUUAUAUUCAUCAAGUGGUACCAAACUCUGGGAAGAGAAGGCGGCGAUUAUUCAAACCUUGAUGGUACCCUUUGCGGAGCUCCACCACUGAAUUCUCAGGACCUAUCCCACACUCUCAUGUACACGGGAAACAGCUAAGACUUGUGAAGAUUUAUUUGGUCUCCACAGUCCUGGGACUAGUGGGUGGGGAGCCAGGAGACUAACCCACACCUUCUAAUAGCAAAUCUUGCGUUCUUUCAAUAAAAAUCACUGUCCUAAUUCACCAUAGCAAGUCAAGUCUUCAACAAGAAGAAGAAAAACAUAAAUAAAUAAAUGUCUUAUUAAAGAUCUUGAGUGGAGCCAAAGAGAAAAUCCAGUUGGUUACCAAUGAGAA
rnacentral:lncRNA from 1 species